rnacentral:rRNA from 1 species
AUUGAACGCUGGCGGCAGGCCUAACACAUGCAAGUCGAACGAGUGGCGGACGGGUGAGUAAUGUCUGGGAAACUGCCUGAUGGAGGGGGAUAACUACUGGAAACGGUCGCUAAUACCGCAUACCAUCGGAUGUGCCCAGAUGGGAUUAGCGCGUAGGUGGGGUAAAGGCUAACCUAGGCGACGAUCCCUCGCUGGUCUGAGAGGAUGACCAGCCACACUGGAACUGUGAACCGGUCCAACUUCCUACGGGAGGCAGCGGUGGGGAAUAUUGCACAAGGGGCGCAUGCCGAAGACAGCCAUGCCGCGUGGAUGAAGAAGGCCUUGGGGUUGUAAACUACUUUCAGCGGGGAGGCGUUACCCGCAGAAGAAGCACCGGCUAACUCCGUGCCAGCAGCCGCGGUAAUUC